rnacentral:rRNA from 1 species
AACGAACGCUGGCGGCAUGCCUAACACAUGCAAGUCGAACGAGACCUUCGGGUCUAGUGGCGCACGGGUGCGUAACGCGGGGGAACCUGCCCUUAGGUUCGGAAUAACUCCCCGAAAGGGGUGCUAAUACCGGAUAAUGUCUUCGGACCAAAGAUUUAUCGCCUUUGGAUGGGCCCGCGUUGGUUUAGCUAGUUGGUAGGGUAAAAGCCUACCAAGGCGACGAUCCAUAGCUGGUCUGAGAGGAUGAUCAGCCACACUGGGACUGAGACACGGCCCAGACUCCUACGGGAGGCAGCAGUGGGGAAUAUUGGACAAUGGGCGAAAGCCUGAUCCAGCAAUGCCGCGUGAGUGAUGAAGGCCUUAGGGUUGUAAAGCUCUUUUACCCGGGAUGAUAAUGACAGUACCGGGAGAAUAAGCUCCGGCUAACUCCGUG